AUUGAACGCUGGCGGCAUGCCUUACACACGCAAGUCGAACGGUAACAGGUCUUCGGAUGCUGACGAGUGGCGAACGGGUGAGUAAUACAUCGGAACGUGCCCGAGAGUGGGGGAUAACGAAGCGAAAGCUUUGCUAAUACCGCAUACGAUCUCAGGAUGAAAGCAGGGGACCGCAAGGCCUUGCGCUCACGGAGCGGCCGAUGGCAGAUUAGGUAGUUGGUGGGAUAAAAGCUUACCAAGCCGACGAUCUGUAGCUGGUCUGAGAGGACGACCAGCCACACUGGGACUGAGACACGGCCCAGACUCCUACGGGAGGCAGCAGUGGGGAAUUUUGGACAAUGGGCGCAAGCCUGAUCCAGCCAUGCCGCGUGCAGGAUGAAGGCCUUCGGGUUGUAAACUGCUUUUGUACGGAACGAAAAGACUCUGGUUAAUACCUGGGGUCCAUGACGGUACCGUAAGAAUAAGCACCGGCUAACUACGUGCCAGCCGCCGCGGUAA
rnacentral:rRNA from 1 species